rnacentral:rRNA from 1 species
UCCAGACUCCUACGGGAGGCAGCAGUGGGGAAUAUUGCACAAUGGGGGGAACCCUGAUGCAGCGACGCCGCGCGGGUGAAGGAGCACCUCGGUGCGUAAAGCCCUAUCGGCAGGGAAGAAACAGACGGUACCUGACUAAGAAGCCCCGGCUAACUACGUGCCAGCAGCCGCGGUAAUACGUAGGGGGCAAGCGUUAUCCGGAUUCACUGGGUGUAAAGGGAGCGUAGACGGCGACGCAAGUCUGGAGUGAAAGCCCGGGGCCCAACCCCGGGACUGCUCUUGGAACUGCGUGGCUGGAGUGCAGGAGGGGCAGGCGGAAUUCCUGGUGUAGCGGUGAAAUGCGUAGAUAUCAGGAGGAACACCGGUGGCGAAGGCGGCCUGCUGGACGGCAACUGACGUUGAGGCCCGAAAGCGUGGGGAGCAAACAGGAUUAGAUACCCUGGUAUUC